rnacentral:tRNA from 1 species
GAGAGGUGGCUCAGAGGUUGAGAGCACUUGCUGCACUGUUCUUGCAGAGGACCUGGGUUCAGUUCCCAGCACCCACA